rnacentral:lncRNA from 1 species
CAUGAACAAUUUAACUCAAAAAAAUAUAGUAUUCAAGUUAUCCAAAAUACAAAAUUGUAAUCUACUUUAGUAAUUUUAAUAAAUCCUAAUUAUGUAUUUUUUAAAAAUAAAAUUUAAAACACCAAUGAAAGGACAAAUUGGUGUUCAUCAUUACAAGAAUAAAAUGCACUUUAUAGAAACUGAAACAUAUCCAAUAAUAUAUUUCAUGGCACAUGCAUAAACCCAAUACAAUAAUAUUGUAUACACAAGUAUACAAAUUCUUAGUAUAAAAGCUCUGCACCAUUUGCCCAUCCCAAUAAUUACAUAGUAUAUUCUCCUAACACCUUUAAAAAAAAUAAAAUAAAAUAAAAUGAAAUAAAAAAGUCACCUAUGAAACCUAACAAGAGCUGUCCUCUUAUUAAGGUAUGUUUGAAGGUGCUUUUGUCUCCGAACAUAAAAGCAACAAUUUUGUAUGGAAUGCUUGUCGAAUAAGGGAAAAAAAAGAAACAGUGUUUGUUCUUUGAGAAAGCAAACAAAUGACAAUGAGAGACACAUAACAUAUGAUGCAGCAUUCCUCUGCUUCUCAUGCUUGAAAGAUUAUGUAGUGCUAUGAACAUAUUUGAUUUUGAUAUCAACUAAACUAAUGGAUUCACUGAAUUCUGUUAUUGAUUGUUGGCUGAAUUUGAUCAAAUUCAUUAAAUUCAAUGUCUAUAGAAAACAGAUCCUUGCUGUUUCCAUCCUGUGGAAAUCACGGAUUCAUCGUGUUUAGGGAGUGAUUGGAAUUUUGGGGAUUAAUGUCGAAAGAAUUAAAUGGCCCUGAACCCAACCGUAGAUAGGUGUUUAUUACUAUUAUUUAUUCCAUGGCCUCACAAUAUGACAAAAGAAAAUGUCUAUGAAAUGGCAGUGAGAAAGAGGGAUCAUGAAGGUCAUCCAACGAUUCCUCCCAAGCGGCGAUCGCGUGCGAGGUCAAGAGGGAUCACGAACGAUUCCUCACAAGCAGCAAUCACGUGCGAGGUCAA